UCGAUUGAAUACCGCGUGCGAAUGGAGGUCGUCAAAAAGCGUCCAGGAAAGAAAACAUCGCAGUAUUGUUGUGUUGUAGGUUGUAACAAUAGCUACAGGAACUCGAAAGGGAAAGACAUUAAAUUCUACAGCUUUCCAAGCAAGCCGUACGAAAAGAAUCGCAGGCAGCGUUGGAUCAGCGCUGUUCGCCGUGUCAACCCGGACGGUACAAAAUGGAUGCCGACGAAGAACAGCAUAAUAUGUAGUGUGCACUUCGUCGGCAACAGGCGACGUGAGGAGAUGAACCAUCCGGCGUACGUCCCGACUCUGUUUCCUGAAGUGUACAGGCGGACGACAAAGCAGACUGCCGAGCAUCAAAUUGCAAGGCACAACAGAUCGAAUUUCAGAUGGAUGCAAAGGAGGUGGGCAUCCCAGGCUUCAACUUCUGUGAGCGAAAUUAAAAAGGAAAUUGGGGAGCCUGCAGUAUGUGGCAAAGAAUUAUUUAAGCAGACAAACCAACAAUCAACACAGACUGAAGAACCCAGUUGCAAGUUCGGUCCUUUAAUGUUGUUUACUGGAAUGACAAGUUCUGGUGUAGCACAGACUUUUGUGGCACAUCACAUACUGAAAGACAGUGAAGCUCAGACUACCAACACAAGUUUCGGUACAAGUUCAAGCUACUGGCUCAAGUUCUGCAGGACCAGGUGACAGGAGCUGCCAUUUAAUUGGAUUUGAGAGAGUGACCAAUGAAGAGGACGUAAACAAGGAGCCAGGGCAGGCCAACAAAUAUGGACGACACAAACACUGCCACAAUGCUCCAACCAUGGUGCAAGAAACUGCUGGAGGUCGUCACUUACCGCUGAGGAAUGUAGCAGGAUCUCGCGUCUCUGGGGUUAGUAUGCAUCCUGGGCCGACAUCCAUCAGGAACGUCUGCCGGAAUUCACCUCGGCGUGGAAAGUGGUUGUCCUAACCUCUAUGCCACGGGAGCUUGUCAACACUCCAAUGCCCUUAAAAACCAAAAGCAGAGUCACCUUGAAUGCACAGCACCCUCUUCCCCGGAGCAUGUUCCUGACACCAGAGUGCAGCUGCUAUAGCAAAUCCGACUCCAACUCCCAUUGUGCCAAAUGUGCCAGCAUCUAGCCUGCAGGGAAAGUUCCCUUAAGGAUCCCAACAGAACACUGGUGAGAACAAAACUGUGCAUUGAUUGUGGCCUGAAAGGUACGUGACGGCACAGCUUAAAUCGAGAUGUUUAAAGACUCGUCAAAGCCCUGUGCUGUGCUGCAUGGGAACAUCAAACUGCAGGUGACUGCUCAAAGCUGGACAGUGUAUGAAAAAGCAUUCAAAAGAAUGCAGACAAUGUACAUGCAAGCCUGCCCAGGAAACCUUCAUCCCGUCUUUUAGACCUCACUCCCGCGAAAGGUAGUUUCUCUAAAAAUAAAAUAAAACAUAAAAGUGUCA